UAGGAAAGAAAUGGGGACAAAUUUUAUUCCCUUGUUGUCCUUCUUGUGGUUUUCCGCCCUUCAGGAAGCCAGAAUAUAAGAACCCUGAAAUUGGCUCUGGACCCGAAAUAUACGUCACUGCUCCCUUUGUCAACCAAGUAUUACAUAACUGAACUCAGCAGUACGCCUCGUAUGCUAUGUUUCUUGAUGUGUCUUCAACUGAUUGAUAUCUGUGCUGGAACGGUGGUGAAUACUGAUGCCUUGCAAUGUAAACUUAUGAAUUCACAUUUGAACGGAUUGAUUCUGGACGUAAGCAACCCAGUGCCCGGGUGGUCAUUCUGGGCUGUUGAAAGCGGUUGUGCCUCUGGUUGGACGGCCUACAACGGACAUUGCUACAUCAGAAUAAGCACUCAACUCAGCUUUUAUGAUGCUCAUACGCAUUGUCAACAGUUUGCCGCAUACUUGGUUGAAAUCAACGACCCAAAUGAAAACACCUGGAUCACACAAAAUUUGCUAAAGGACUU